rnacentral:rRNA from 1 species
UACGUAGGGUGCAAGCGUUGUCCGGAAUUAUUGGGCGUAAAGAGCUCGUAGGCGGCCUGUCGCGUCGGCUGUGAAAACCCGAGGCUCAACCUCGGGCCUGCAGUCGAUACGGGCAGGCUAGAGUUCGGUAGGGGAGACUGGAAUUCCUGGUGUAGCGGUGAAAUGCGCAGAUAUCAGGAGGAACACCGGUGGCGAAGGCGGGUCUCUGGGCCGAAACUGACGCUGAGGAGCGAAAGCGUGGGGAGCGAACAGG